rnacentral:lncRNA from 1 species
UUUGAAUAUGUUCUGAGUUAUCCAAUCAAAAAUCUUGUUACAUCUGAUUUUUAAAUGUUAAGUUUUGUUAUAAAUCUGUCUAUUAGCUUCUGAUUAUUUCAAUGUUGUAUUGUAAAUCAACUAUCCUUAGUAUUCAUUCCAUUGCAUUAACUUCUAAUUGACAUUGAAACCUUUUUAAUAUGAAAUAUAUUUUCAUGCAUCAAUUAAAUUUUGUCGCACAUUUAGUUAUGAAAUUACUAACAUUUCAUAACAAAAUUGACUUUCAGAUUGUUAUAUUUUUUUGUUCACUACUGUCAAAUUUCCAAAUACAUAAAUUGCAAUUUUGAAUUACCUUUUAAAACUGUUGGUAGUAUCAUAUUAAAAAAAGUGAAAAGUUCAUAAAAAAAAAGACCCCAUCUUUUCUGAUAAAGGUUAUGACUUGAUAUCAAGGUCGUAGAACUAAAUUGUAUGAAAUUUAGUUUUACAAUGGAAUAAUAUACAAUUAUUUAUAUUGUAUUUACAAAUAUUUCUUGUUUCGUCUCUGUAUUUUUUAUGAAACAAGUUCCAUUGGCGACACAUUAAUUUGUUCUUUAACAGUAUUUUUCCAUUUUACGCCACUUUGUGAUUAAAUGAUUUUAUUGUACAUAGUAUUCCUAGUGUUGUGACUCCUGUCACUGCCGACAUCAGUAACACUCUGUAAAAACUUAUGUUAUGGUUUUCUUUAUAAAUUAGAAAACAGCAAAUUCAAGAUAUUUUGAAGUUGUAAAGUUCUUCUGUUUCGGUAAAUCCGAUAGGAUUUUUAUUUAGUAUCGUGUAUUUGAAAAUUUUCAUUUUAGGAAGUUGAGAAAUGGUACUUGAUAGUAAUAGUAAACACACACUUUUUGGUUUUAAACCAGAUCUGAAUCCUUUAUUGUGUUAAACAAUUAUUUUGGACAAUCAGACAUAUUAUAUUUUGCAUUUACAUAGAUGUAUCUGCUAAAAAUGGGUGUCCGUGAAAUUUUAAGCAUUUAAUGCACAAUUCAUGUUCACAAAUCAAGAUUCACUGAGUUUUAUGAAGUUUUGGAUAUUUACAUUUUUGAAACAAGAAAUGAGGAAUAAAUUCAUUGUUUACAAACUUCAAGGAUCAAUGUAUGUCUUCACAAUCAUGCUCCAGAUUUAUUUAACAAUCCUUUUGGAAAGAAUAUAAAACCAAAGCAAACAAAUUUGUAAAAGAAAAUUACAAUAAAAAUUAUGUAAAUUAUUUAUUAUCAAUAAUAAUAUAUCAUAAGAGGUCAGAAAAACAACUGAAACAGUGUCUUUUUUUCUAGUCAUUAAUUUUUCAAAAUUUUAUUUCUGUAUUAUUUUAAUAUAUAUUUAGGAAAUGGCAGUUAUUUUUGUAUCAUUAUAUAUAUAUAUAUUUUAUUUUAUUUUCUCCAUUGUUUUUUUUUCACAUUCAAUUUUUUUGUAUUUGCUUUUAGUAUUCAUUAUCCUUGUACUUGUUUUAUGUAAUGCUAGGCUACAAAAAGAUAAAACUACAGUAGUUCAGUAAUUUUCAUAAUCACCAUUUCAAAACCUUAUGAAUAAUAAGUAAUUUUGUGCAAUGAUCGACCAAAAUAUGUAAACAUGCAUCUAGGGUUUACUUUAGUUCUAUCUUUUAAAAGUGUUUUGUUUCCUAUAAAGAAAUUCUGCUUUGAUGAUAGACAUUUGAUACUCAAUUCUAAAUUUAUUCAAUAUUUGUGUAGCUUAGAGUAAAAAAAAUCUGUUUAGUUUUCAAGGACAAUUGUCUGUCAUUGUAAACACUGUGUUAACCUCUAGAUGUCUGUUUUGGCUUAUAUUUUGUUGUUGGGUUACUGGCUCAUUGCUGUAUACUCCACAUCUCUUUUUUAUACAAAAUCUACAUUCAUAGAAAUUCUGUGAUAUAUAGAUUUUGGUAUACAUUUUUUAAUUGUCAAUAAAAGAUUCAUUGUCCUAAUUUUGCAUUAAAUAUUAACUACUGGAUAGUAGCAACCAAAAAUCACUUAAACAAUUCCUUAGAUUUUGAGAUGGUGAAUUUAAGAUUUAUUUUGUAUAACAAAUUACAACUCUUGCUGUGUAUUUUAUCAGUAACCUGUACAUGUAUAUAAACUACACCAGAUAAACCACUCCUGUGUUAAUCCCUGUAUUGUAGACUUAAUUUUAUUAUGUUUUUGCUAACCUUUAUGAGAUAGUUUUACUAAAUGCAUGUUCCAAGAUUUCCAUUUGCCAAAAUUUUUGUAUAAUCCACAAAACUUGACAGUUAUUACUAAGAAACAUAUUUUAAAACAGCUAUUUAUUUUUAUGAAAUAUAUUCAAUGAAUUUUGUAAAUAAACCUUUACUAUUGUGCUUUAUCAAUUCAGUGAUGUGAAUAUUUUUUGUUUCUCCAUGUUAAGUUUGUCACAAAUUUACUGACAUGUAUAUGUAACUUGCCAAAGAAAUAAAAGGUCUUUCCAUCUGUCAAUAUUGUACACACAUAAAACAGCUAUUUUUUUAUGCUCCUACAAGUCGGAAUAAGCAAAAAUUACAAAACAUUAAAAUAACUGUAUUUUACCCACAAAGCUCCCUUGUAUGAUGAGUAGGGAGGGAUGUAAGUUACAAGUGGUUUUGAUUUAUAUCCUGAAGUGCAUACCGUAAAGAAAAAGAAAAAAUGAUCUAGAAACAAAAAUUGUAGUAACGAAAGACAUGAUGUCAAAUGGAGGACUAUAAUUUAAUUUAAAAGAGAAGUUGAAAUGUCAGACCUCUGAAUAAAAUGAGAGCAAUAUGGAUGGAAUGAAGUAAAACAGACCAUUGAAUUAGAAGGCAUACUAAAAAAAAAUAGAAAUCAUAAAAUCAGAACAUAGAUUACUAAUGAUUUUUAAAUAUGAGUGAUUUUGCUUUUUUUGUAAAUGAUAAUAAACUAAAGAAUGAUUUCCAAAGAAAAAAACAUGUCACUUCAAUAAAGUUACAUGGAAAAAACAUACUAGUACAUUGUAAUUAUAAAAAUGUGCAGUUAAAAUCUUGCUUAGUGAAAAAAUUGCCAAAAUAUUUUUAUAUUGAUUUGUAUAUAGACCAAUGAAAAUGUUUUAAAUUAACUGUUUAGUGAUUGUUGCUGGACUUCAUUUAUCUUACAGGGUUCUUCUUUAAAAAAGAUGAAAAUAGUAAUAUAUUAAACAAACAAAAUAUAUAUAUCGUUUUAUUUUGAUGAUACAUAAAUUUUUAUUUUCAAGAGGUCAAUAUUAUAUACAUGACAGCAAGAAAAAAAAUGUUAAGGUUACUCCCAUCAAUUAUGGGGAUCAAAAAUAUAAGAUCUUGACUAGGUUAAGAAGUAGGACAAGUUAUUUGAAAAUGGUCUGGACCUGCGUCAAACUCUUUUCUUUUUAGUUAUGUUAUAAGCAAAAACCUUAAUUUUAAACUUGACUUAAAAAAUGAGAUUAAAGCUUUAAAUGCUUCAAGAUUAUUUUGAGAAUGUCUAUAUGUAUAUUUUGUAUGUAAAUUUCUUGACAACGGUAACCAUGGUGAUAAAAUUUUUAGACAAUAUGUAUGAGCAAUUAUAUUUUGAAGAUAUUGAUUGUUGAAGUUUUAUCUGAUUGAUGAAGUUAUUUUUGUUAAUUUCCAGUGCUAUUUGUUGAUUUUUAUACCAUACAUUGUUAGUGAUAUUUGCUUACCAUUAUGAAACCCUUUGCUGUGGUUUUAGAAAAUGAUUUAUAUAUGUAUAUGAUAAUGACCUGAACUCUUGACCAACCAAUCUUUAUAUCUAUUAUAGAUUCUGAUCUAAUUAUUUAGGUUAUAUAUGUUGAUAAGUGUAGACAAGUGUAAAAAUUGAAAAGUUGAAACCACUUUGAGCUUUUACAGUAGUCAGAUUGGAAAUUUAACCCUGUAUUGACAUAAGCCAUAGAUUAAGGUCUGAUUCAAUUAAUUUAACUGAUUCAAUAAACCAAAUUAAAUUAGUAAAUUUUUGUUAUAAAAAUGUGUUAUACCCUAUCAUAAGUCCUGCAUAUUUGGCAGAUCUUUUUAAUUCAUAAUUCAUGAUGGAAAUAUUAAAAGCAAAAGAGAAAAAAAAGUCCUGUUAAUCAUUUGAAAGUAAACCUGGCAAUAUAUCUUACUGCAAAUAGUACAAGAUCUGAAAUAAUGCAUAUCCCUUUUUAUAUUUACUGUGAAUUUAUUACAAUUGCUAUUUUACAUUUUACAUAUUUUGUUCACAGAUAUAGUCUUCAUUUAUUACUGAAUAUUUUCAAAGCAAAAUAUUUCUUCAAAUUCAAUCCAUUUGAAUUUUUUUUUUUAGAAAAAUACUUCAUAUUGUUUUAUUUUUUUCAUAAUUAUUUUUUCCAGUAGUUAUCCAUUUAUUUUUUAAACUAAAAUAACUAACACCUUUCACCUUUUUUUAUGUAAAUUUAUAGAUAAAUAAAUUAACAAUGCCUAUUUUCACCUAAAAAAAUCAUCAGAUUCACCAUUUUAUAUUGUGUAAGUAUGAGUUCAUACAUCUUUUUGUUACACUGAUAUCUACCAAGAUAACUCAAAAAGAUUUAUCAUUGUAUCAGUACUUUGAAUACUGUGGAUUCAUUAUUAAUCGUUGCAUACCAAUGUGGAUUUUAAGUAAAUGAAUCCACAAUACAGGUGAGCUGCUGCACAUCUUUCAACUUGUCAAAAAAUUAAAACUUGAUAUACUCCAUUAUAGAUCACAAUCUUGUAACAGACACCCCUACAUUAAAUAUUAAAUGACUCCAUUUUAUAUGGCCAUUACAUAUUUAGUGAGUAGGAAUUCAUAUGUCUUCUUGUUACACUGAUAUCUAAGUUAAUACAAAGUAUUUUGAAUACUGGUAUGCUUUUCAGUUGCCAAUAAAAUAUAACUUGAAAUACCCCAUCAUAAAUCACAAUCUUGUAAAAAAUACCCUUACAUAAUUAUAUAUUGAAUGACUCCAUUUUAUUAUGAAUGACUCCAUGUUAUAUGGGUUUACAUCUAUGUAAUUUCUGACAGGGACAAAUUAAGUGUAUUUUUGUCCUGCUUCAAAACAUAUGAGUAAUAUAAAACCAUUUAAUCAGAACUUACAUGUACAUUUAUGGAAUACAUUUAUAUUAUUCUUUCUUCCAUCACUCAUUAAGUAUUUACACUGUAAAUCUAUCUAUACAUUAAUAUACUGUUUUAUUGUUGAAAUAAAUAUA